rnacentral:tRNA from 1 species
UCUUUGGUACAUGAAUGGCUGAAUUAAGUGGUAAUUUUGCGUAAAUGUACUUUGUAUGGUAUGUGAAUGUCUAAAUUAGGUAAAAAAGAU